UAUGCAUGGUUAAUAUUUUCUGAUGAACAAUUGGCUUGCAAAUUGGUUUAUAAAUGGAAUUUGGUUUGAAAAUAAUUAAGGUGUUGGCGUGAGUGCGUGUGACUAAUAUGAGUCAAGUUACGAUAUCUGUGCCCGAAAACGGUUGGUUUGUCUCUACGUGUGCAGGUGACUUGAGGUCAAUAUCAGUCAAACAGCGGCAGGAUCGUGACUAAGCUCAGCGAGAAGUUGAGGUCCAGACGGUCGAGAAUGUCGGGUGACGAUAUUAAAUAUAAGGUGACAUACGGUGAAAGAACACCGUAUAGGGAUGAUGUGUAACGAGAUUCACAUACUGUUUGGGAAAGCGCCUGGAUAAAUUAGGAAGAAAAUUAGAGAUUAAUGGACGAAGGAAUGAAGAAAAGAAAAUGAGAGAUACUGUGCACGUGCCACGCGGGUUGGACUCUGGACGUUCGUACACGGUCGGAGUCCUAUGCGUUAGGCCGUACGUGCGAAACCGUGAUUUGGUUUGAAGGC
rnacentral:lncRNA from 1 species